rnacentral:rRNA from 1 species
UACGUAGGGUGCGAGCGUUAAUCGGAAUUACUGGGCGUAAAGCGUGCGCAGGCGGUUGGUUAAGUCUGAUGUGAAAACUCGAGGCUUAACCUUGAGAUGUCAUCGGAAACCAUUUGGCUAGAGUCCGGAAGAGGAGAGUGGAAUUCCUGGUGUAGCGGUGAAAUGCGUAGAUAUCGGGAGGAACACCAGUGGCGAAGGCGGCUUUCUGGGCCUUACCUGACGCUGAGACGCGAAAGCGUGGGGGAGCGAACCGG